GACGAACGCUGGCGGCGUGCCUAAUACAUGCAAGUCGAACGCUUCUUUCCUCCCGAGUCCUUGCACUCAAUUGGAAAGAGGGUUGGCGGACGGGUGAGUAACACGUGGGUAACCUACCCAUCAGAGAGGGAUAACACUUGGAAACAGGUGCUAAUACCGCUGAACAGUUUAUUCUGCAUGCCAUAAGUGUGACAGGCGCUCUCGGCUGGCGUUGAUGGAUGGACCGGCGGUGCAUUAGCUAGUUGGCGAGGUAACGGUUAACCGAGUCGAUGAUGCAUAACCGAGCUGGGAGGGUGAUCGGCCACAGUGGAACUGGGAAACGGACAAGAGUCCUAAGGGAGGCAGCAGUAGGGAAUAAUGGGCAAUGGACGAAAGUCUGACCGAGCAACGGCGCGUGAGUGAAAAAAGUUUUCGGAUCGGGAAACUUUGUUUUUGGAGAAGAACAAGGAUGUUAGAAAAUGAACGUCUACUGACGGUAUAUAACCAAAAAGCAACGGCUAACUACGUG
rnacentral:rRNA from 1 species